ensembl:lncRNA
GUGCAAUAUUGAAGUUUGUACUGUACAAUUCAGGAUCCAGAUUCUAACCUCAAGACAUGUUAACCAGGGAUUUUCUCAUUCUUUGCUCUCUGGCAGUUCUGCUGGUACAUGCUGACCGUAAUACUAAUAAUGAUCACACCGCCCAAGCCAUAGCCACAGAUAAGGACUCAACCUCCGAUGAAGCACCGACGGGGAGCUUGAAUGCCAUUUCCUCGGACCAGCCCAAGGAUAAGUCACAGUAUUACAAAGGAGGAACAGCUGAUGUAAGCAGUACAAGCAUGGAGGUUGGACAAGAUGGAGUCGUGGGAAACAGCGUUGAAGAACAGGACGACAUCGAGAGCUCAGAUGAAGGUGUCAAAAAAAGAAUUGUCCCUCCCCCUCCUCCCACUGCUCCACAACAAAAGGCUCGGAAGUUCACUGGGCCACGCGGGAACCGGAGAAAGGCUGCGGCGCCGCAGCAGAAGAGAAGAUCGCGACCCUCUCGUCGUCAAGCUUGAACUGUUACAAAGACACAGAGGCAAACAUUUACUGUUAGUUGAUUACAUAGAAACCCCUACAAAUAUUGUAUCCUAUUAAUGUAUAUGCCAUUACACGGACGCGUUAAUAACCGUAUGCACAGGAUGAAGAUGUUUUUUAAUGUGUUUUGGGCAGUAGAACAAGGCCGGAAUGACGAGAUAUUGUUUACUGUAAUGCCUGUGGGGAAAACCUCAACGUUGUGUUAAAUACAAACUCACGGGCAUUUUCUGUGAAUUUAAUGUAGCAUGAAACCUACCAUGUAAUGUUUUGAUUUAUGAAAACAGGCCAAACACCAGCGAGAGAGCGUUCACACGUUCGUUAUAACCUGAUGUGAACCAAGCGGUACUGUUGCAUCACUUUGGAGACUGACCAUAAAAGCCUCAAUUCGCCAACCUGUUUAAAAUUAGCAAGGACCUCAUUCCCGAGAAAAAUACCUCCAUUUCUAAGAAUGACUUCUGCCAUUUUGUCACUACCCAGUUGGUGACAAUAUGGAGUUAUGAACUGGCAAUACAUUCACUACUAAGAUUUACAUUUUUUUAUAUAUAUAUAUAAUUAGGUUUAACUGAAAAGUUAUACGCUAUUUGUCUUUUAGUCGUGUGCUGAAAAAAAUAUUAAGAAAUCUCAGAAUCCUUGUGAGUUAAGAAGGGUUACCUUUGACUGGUGCUACCUACCCGAAGACUGGUAAUAUAGUCAGCCAUGGCAUAGCUGUUAGUGGAUAGUCUGUUUAAGCAUCCAUGCUGUCAAACACAAAGCCAGUGUUUCAAUCAAAAGUAUUUCUUUCUUUUUUUCUAAUCAGCAUUUUUAUACACACAGUAUUUAACAAAUUAUGUAUGAAAUGUGUUCAAUGAAUAUCAACUUCAAAACAUGUCUUGAGUGUAAACCUUUAUCUCUUACAUAAUAUCAUUCUAAAUAAACUUAAUGUGAGCAAAAUUUCCACCUGACCAUUCUUGAAGCAUCUGUGAUUGCUAAAAAUGAAUCAAAUUGAAAUGAUAUUCCCAC